GUUUCUAUCUAUGAAGUGUUUUCUUCCAGUACGAAAGGAUCGAAGAAAAGAGGCCUAUGCUUAAUGUAAGCCUCACCCCCACCUAAUGAGAACAACUAAAUUAGACAAAAGGCACCUCCCCAUGCCAGAGGAUAAUAGCU
rnacentral:rRNA from 1 species